CCUACGGGUGGCUGCAGUGGGGAAUUUUGGACAAUGGGCGCAAGCCUGAUCCAGCCAUGCCGCGUGAGUGAAGAAGGCCUUCGGGUUGUAAAGCUCUUUCGGCCGGAACGAAAUCGUCCGGGCUAAUACCUCGGAUGGAUGACGGUACUGGAAGAAGAAGCACCGGCUAACUACGUGCCAGCAGCCGCGGUAAUACGUAGGGUGCAGGCGUUGCUCGGAAUUUCCGGGGGUAAAGCGUGCGCUGGGAGCUGAAAUCCCCGGGCUUAACCUGGGAACUGCGUUUGAAACUGGGAGGCUGGAGUGCGGCAGAGGGGGGUGGAAUUCCACGUGUAGCAGUGAAAUGCGUAGAUAUGUGGAGGAACACCGAUGGCGAAGGCAGCCCCCUGGGCCUGCACUGACGCUCAUGCACGAAAGCGUGGGGAGCAAACAGGAUUAGAUACCCGUGUAGUC
rnacentral:rRNA from 1 species